AUGCUUACAAACUUUUUUCAGCACACACUGGCCAUUAUACCUUUCCCUAUUUCAAACAUUCAGUUCCAUUAGACACAAGCAAAAUUCUUCCGUCAGUCACAAAACACAUCAAACUCACAAAAUAGCGUUUUUAACCAUCCAAACAAACUAAAUCUAGCGUGGAGAAUGAGUUUAAGACUUUUAACUACAUAACCAGGGCAAGCACGAAAUUAGUUCUAAGAAUGAAAUGGGGUUUAAUGUUGUUGCUGCUGGUUGGUAUAUUGGCCAACCUUUUAGUAGCGGAUGCGUGCAAUAGAAAAGGCAUCAUACCUUGUAUGAAACCAUCACCCUGCGAGACUCCUGCCUCUGCCUCUACUGCUAGUGCUGCUUCUAAUCAAUAGCCCUCAUGUCAUGGAAACCGUGGUGGUGCAAGAGCUGAUAAUCUUGGUCGUAACCCUGGUGCUAUCCUACUUGGAGUCCUGUUAUGGUUCCCGCUGCUGAAGACACUUGUUUUAGGAUAUACUCUCGAGAUAAAUCAGAAAAAUCAAGAUUUCGUGGCUAA